rnacentral:lncRNA from 1 species
GGACAAUACUUGACAAUCCUUUAGAGUGUAGUUGAAGGGUGUGCCACGCGCUUUAGAGAAGAACCGUCUCUUAGAGAAGAACUGACAGAUCAGCGUGAACUUUUGCUUUAUUUUAUUCAAAGCCAUUUGUGCUCGAUUGGAAGCAAGCCCACCCUGACUCACACUGACCACUCAAAGGUUGAGAGGAAACGAGGACUGACACAUAGACAUU